CGGGGUGCACCAGGCGCGAAAACUUUACAAUGCGGGAAACCGUGAUAAGGGGACACCGAGUGCCAGCAUCAUAUGCUGGCUGUCCAGGUGUGUAAAAUACACCUGUCAGCAAGGGCCGGGCAAGACCGGUGCCAGCCGCCGCGGUAACACCGGCGGCCCGAGUGGUGAUCGUGAUUAUUGGGUCUAAAGGGUCCGGAGCCGGUUUGGUCAGUCCUCCGGGAAAUCUGACGGCUCAACCGUUAGGCUUUCGGGGGAUACUGCCAGGCUUGGAACCGGGAGAGGUAAGAGGUACUACAGGGGUAGGAGUGAAAUCUUGUAAUCCCUGUGAGACCACCUGUGGCGAAGGCGUCUUACCAGAACGGGUUCGACGGUGAGGGACGAAAGCUGGGGGCACGAACCGGAUUAGAUACCCGGGUAGUCCCAGCCGUAAACGAUGCUCGCUAGGUGUCAGGCAUGGCGCGACCGUGUCUGGUGCCGCAGGGAAGCCGUGAAGCGAGCCACCUGGGAAGUACGGCCGCAAGGCUGAAACUUAAAGGAAUUGGCGGGGGAGCACAAGGGCGAUUCGC
rnacentral:rRNA from 1 species